GGACUACCGGGGUAUCUAAUCCUGUUUGCUCCCCACGCUUUCGAGUCUCAGCGUCAGUAUUCGUCCAGUUGGCCGCCUUCGCCACCGGUGUUCCUCCCGAUAUCUACGAAUUUCACCUCUACACCGAGAAUUCCACCAACCUCUCCGAUACUCAAGCCAAGCAGUAUCGAAUGCACUUCCCGGGUUGAGCCCGGGGCUUUCACAUCCGACUUACCAAGCCGCCUACACUCGCUUUACGCCCAGUAAUUCCGAACAACGUUUGCACCCUCUGUCUUACCGCGGCUGCUGGCAC
rnacentral:rRNA from 1 species